UACGAAGGGGGCUAGCGUUGUUCGGAUUUACUGGGCGUAAAGCGCACGUAGGCGGAUUGUUAAGUGAGGGGUGAAAUCCCAGGGCUCAACCCUGGAACUGCCUUUCAUACUGGCAAUCUCGAGUCCGGAAGAGGUGAGUGGAACUCCUAGUGUAGAGGUGGAAUUCGUAGAUAUUAGGAAGAACACCAGUGGCGAAGGCGGCUCACUGGUCCGGUACUGACGCUGAGGCACGAAAGCUAGGGGAGCAAACAGG
rnacentral:rRNA from 1 species